GAUGAACGCUAGCGGCAGGCCUAACACAUGCAAGUCGAGGGGCAGCAUUUCCAGCUUGCUGGAAGAUGGCGACCGGCGCGCGGGUGCGCACCGCGUAUGGAACCUGCCUUCUACAGGGGAAUAGCCCAGGGAAACUUGGAUUAAUGCCCCGUGGCACCGUUGUACGGCAUCGUACUGCGGUUAAAGCCCUCGGGCGGUAGAAGAUGGCCAUGCGUCCCAUUAGUUCGUUGGUAGGGUAACGGUCUACCAAGGCUACGAUGGGUAGGGGCCCUGAGAGGGGGAUCCCCCACACUGGUACUGAGACACGGACCAG
rnacentral:rRNA from 1 species